CAGUAAACUUGGAACCAACUGUGCAAAAGCACAAACAACAGUCAGAGGAUUCCUUGCAGUGAGUCGCGGUUGCAUGCAGGUGUCCCUCUAGUUCCCUAGGGAGUAUCACCACACUUGUCUUCUUUGGCAACUCCGACAUCCAGAAACUGGGUCCUGGAGGCAAUACCUCUCCCUGGGCGAGGGUAACUGACCGCAGGGAGGAGAAGAGGCUGCGAGUUGGGAGGAGAGAGCUGAUCUUCUCAAUACGGCAUCCCGAGGGGAUAAUACCAUUUAAAAAGCUUUUGACACCAUCCACCAUCUCCCGUCUCGAAACCUCCCUAAACAUCACCGGUACUGCUCUCUCCUGGUUGAAAUCGGCAACAGUUCAUCAACAUCAACAACUGCACCUGCUCCCCUGUCCCAAGGCGUCCCCCAGGGUUUGGUGCUUGGUACCUUGGGAACACGUUACCCAAGGGCACUAGGGACUACCUAGGUGAAAGCCCAGACCCUCCUGGGCAGAACUACGAACUGGGUACAAGCAGAAGACUUAAUUCUCCUCUGCCAUAUGAAGGACAACGAUCCAGAGUUGAACCAACAACAGAAAGCCUGUAUCUAGAACCGCCUCCCCUUGCCUCGCCACCUGUGUUUGCCAGAACCAGACAACACGCUGACAGAGAUUUACUCGUUACCAGUCCCUCUGGAAAAGGGUGCAGAGCUCCCAAAGGACCAUCCUCAGCCUGGGCAAGAGACAGUUGUAUUUUGAUGCGCAUUUUGAGCCACGUCCAAAAACACUGUAUUGAACUGAAAAGAGGAUGAUUGUAACCCAUCCUCACAUACACCCACCAUGCAGAGAAUGUGACGAAUAAUGCCUCAGAAUAAGCGAUCAAAAGAAAAGAUAAGAUGGUAGAGCAUUUGCAGAUGGCACAGCUCCAAGCCUUUGAGCAGGAGGUUCAAAGGGGCAGAGGCCAUAGAGCAGCGGUCUCCAACCUUUUUUAUGCCACGGACUGGUUUCAUGUAAGACAAUAUGUUUGCGGAACGGGGGGGGAACAAA